rnacentral:rRNA from 1 species
GUCCAGACUCCUACGGGAGGCAGCAGUGGGGGAUAUUGCACAAUGGGGGGAACCCUGAUGCAGCGACGCCGCGUGGGUGAAGGAGCGUUUCGGCGCGUAAAGCCCUCUCGGCAGGGAAGAAGGAGGACGGUACCUGACUAAGAAGCCCCGGCUAACUACGUGCCAGCAGCCGCGGUAAUACGUAGGGGGCAAGCGUUAUCCGGAUUUACUGGGUGUAAAGGGGGCGCAGACGGCAGCGCAAGCCAGGAGGGAAAGGCCGGGGCCCAACCCCGGGACUGCUCUGGAAACUGCGGCGCUGGAGUACGGGAGGGGCAGGCGGAAUUCCUGGUGUAGCGGUGAAAUGCGUAGAUAUCAGGAGGAACACCGGCGGCGAAGGCGGCCUGCUGGACCGUGACUGACGUUGAGGCUCGAGAGCGUGGGGAGCAAACAGGAUUAGAUACCCCAGUACUC